rnacentral:lncRNA from 1 species
GGACGAAAAUAGUAAUAAACACGCAAUCUUUAUGGACGGAUGAAGUAAUUAGUAUUGAAAUUGGUGAAAAAGUGUUAUAAUUAGUAUUGAAAAUAAUGAAAGAUUGAAAAGCAAGAGUAAAUGAAGUAUUAUUAAUGGUGAGGUAAUGUCCCAAAAUGGAUGUGAAGUUAUUUGGGGGACGUUCCAAAAGUGAAAUAUAAAAAAUUGUUUGGGG